GAUGAACGCUGGCGGCGUGCCUAAUACAUGCAAGUCGAGCGAACGGACGAGAAGCUUGCUUUUCUGAUGUUAGCGGCGGACGGGUGAGUCACACGUGGAUAACCUCCCUAUCAGACUGGGAUCACUUCGGGAAACCGGCGCUAAUACCGGAUAAUAUUUUGAACCGCAUGGUUCAAAAGUGAAAGACGGUCUUGCUGUCACUUAUAGAUGGAUCCGCGCUGCAUUAGCUAGUUGGUAAGGUAACGGCUUACCAAGGCAACGAUGCAUAGCCGACCUGAGAGGGUGGUCGGCCACACUGGAACUGAGACACGGUCCAGACGCCUACGGGAGGCAGCAGUAGGGAAUCUUCCGCAGUGGUCGAAAGCCUGACGGAGCAACGCCGCGUGAGUGAUGAAGGUCUUCGGAUCGGAAAACUCUGUUAUUAGGGAAGAACAUAUGUGUAAGUAACUGUGCACAUCUUGACGGUACCUAAUCAGAAAGCCACGGCUAACUACGUG
rnacentral:rRNA from 1 species